rnacentral:rRNA from 1 species
GACAGAGGGUACAAACGUUGUUCGGAAUUACUGGGCGUAAAGCGCGUGUAGGCUGCUUCGCAAGUCGGGUGUGAAAGCCCUGGGCUCAACCUAGGAAGUGCACUCGAAACUGCGAAGCUUGAGUCCUGGAGAGGAAGGCGGAAUUCUCGGUGUAGAGGUGAAAUUCGUAGAUAUCGAGAGGAACACCGGUGGCGAAGGCGGCCUUCUGGACAGUGACUGACGCUGAGACGCGAAAGCGUGGGGAGCAAACAGG